rnacentral:rRNA from 1 species
GUCUUUUUGAUAAUAAUUUAAAGUCUAAUCUGCCCACUGAAUAUAAUUUAAAGGGCUGCAGUAUAUUGACUGUACAAAGGUAGCAUAAUCAGUAGUCUUUUAAUUGAAGACUUGUAUGAAUGAUUUGAUGAGAUAUAAACUGUCUCUUUAUAAUAAAUAAAAUUUAAUUUUUUAGUUAAAAAGCUAAAAUAUUUAUAAAAGACGAGAAGACCCUAUAGAGUUUUAUAUUUAAAUUUAUUUGAAUUUUAUAUAAAAUUUUAAAUUUAAAUAAAUUUAAAUAUUUUGUUGGGGUGAUAGAAAAAUUUAUAAAACUUUUUUUAAAAAAUUAACAUUGAUAUAUGAAUUUAUGAUCCAUAAUUUAUGAUUAAAAGAAUAAAUUACCUUAGGGAUAACAGCGUAAUUUUUUUUUUUAGUUCAAAUAAAAAUUAAAGUUUGCGACCUCGAUGUUGGAUUAAGAUAAAAUUUAAAUGCAAAAGUUUAAAAUUUUGAUCUGUUCGAUCAUUAAAAUCUUACA